CGUACCGUCCCAUUUCUUCGAGGUCCCUUUGGUGCCGCUUUCCUCGAGAAGCCCUGCUCCUCCCUUUCGCAAGCUUCCCGACGCUGUUGCCACCACCCGAUGCGGAUCGUCGCCUUCUUCCCAACCCCUCGAUGCCUUCCCUUGAGGAGGGCGUUGUUGCUGAGCUUCCUUGGGAUCCAGAUUCGGUUGGCUGCGGCCGAUCACAGACCUGGAAACCCGAGUUUUGGUUUCCCGCUGAUUUUGAUGUGUUUACAAGGUGAGAUUCGUUUAUUCCUGAUUCCCCGUGCCUUACUCGUUGGUGAUCUUGAAUCUUGAAACGAUAAAUUGCUCUGUGAUGCCUACUCUCUAAUUAAUAUAAGUUCAUGCUUGUGAUCUUUUUUAUCUUGAAACGACAGAGUUCUUAGUCGGUUGUGCCUUUUCGUUUUCUUGGUUCUGAGAUCCGUGUCUUCUUGAUCUCUCGUGCUUUACUCGUUUGUGAUCUUGAAUUUAGAAAUGCUAAGAGUUGUUAAUCUAUAUGAUGCCUAUUCUCUAAUAUAAGUUCAUGCUUGUGAUUUUUCUUAUCUUGAGACGACGGAGCUCUCUGUCGGUUGUGCCUUUUCGUUUUUUUGGUUCUGAGAUCCGUGUCUUCUUGAUCAGACUUACUGAUUUGUGAUCUUGAAUCUUAAAAUGAUAAGCUGAUCCGUGAUGUGUAUUCUCUUAUAUAAGUUCAUGCUUGUGAUCUUUUUUAUCUUGAAACGACAUAGUUCUUAGUCGGUUGUGCCUUUUUGCUUUCUUGGUUCAGAGAUCCGUGUCUUCUUGAUCCCUCGUGCCUUAUUUGUGAUCGUGAAUCUGGAAAUGAUAAAGAGUUGUUGAUCUAUGAUGCCUAUUCUCUCGUAUAAGUUCAUGGUUGUGAUUUUUUUUAUCUUGAAACGACAGAGUUCUUAGUCGGUUGUGCCUUCUCGUUUUCUUUCUUGAUCUCUACUGCCUGACUCAUGAUCUUGAAUCUUGCAAUGAUAAAGAGGUCCUAAUCUGUCAUGCAUGUUCUCUCGUAUAAAUUCAUGCUUGUGAUCUUGCAUCUUGAAACGAAAGAGUUCUUAGUGAUAAGCAGAUAAGAUUUCCUCAAGCCAGUUGACGAAGAAAAAUCUUCCCUGUUGAAUGUGUAUAAAUAGCUAUCAAGAGCGUACUAUCUAAAUGAACUAGGCAAUUACAUUUCAUACAUUUCAUAGUUUCUUAUAUAAUUUCUAUCUUUCUAUCUUCUUCGUUUAAUUAUUUACAUGGUAUCAGAGCCUUCUUCCUUGCGGAUGUAG
rnacentral:lncRNA from 1 species